AACGAACGCUGGCGGCAUGCCUAACACAUGCAAGUCGAACGAGACCUUCGGGUCUAGUGGCGCACGGGUACGUAACGCGUGGGAAUCUGCCCUUGGGUUCGGAAUAACAGUUGGAAACGACUGCUAAUACCGGAUGAUGACGUAAGUCCAAAGAUUUAUCGCCCAGGGAUGAGCCCGCGUAGGAUUAGCUAGUUGGUGGGGUAAAGGCCUACCAAGGCGACGAUCCUUAGCUGGUCUGAGAGGAUGAUCAGCCACACUGGGACUGAGACACGGCCCAGACUCCUACGGGAGGCAGCAGUGGGGAAUAUUGGACAAUGGGCGAAAGCCUGAUCCAGCAAUGCCGCGUGAGUGAUGAAGGCCUUAGGGUUGUAAAGCUCUUUUACCCGGGAUGAUAAUGACAGUACCGGGAGAAUAAGCCCCGGCUAACUCCGUG
rnacentral:rRNA from 1 species